rnacentral:piRNA from 1 species
UCUCAGGCAAUAUUCCAGGUUUCUGGAAAGC